GUAGGUGAACCUGCGGAAGGAUCAUUACCGAGUGUAGGGUUCCUAGCGAGCCCACCCUCCCACCCGUGUUUACUGUAACCUUAGUUGCUUCGGCGGGCCCGCCUUUAAGGCCGCCGGGGGGCAUCAGCCCCCGGGCCCGCGCCCGCCGGAGACACCACGAACUCUGUCUGAUCUAGUGAAGUCUGAGUUGAUUGUAUCGCAAUCAGUUAAAACUUUCAACAAUGGAUCUCUUGGUUCCGGCAUCGAUGAAGAACGCAGCGAAAUGCGAUAACUAGUGUGAAUUGCAGAAUUCCGUGAAUCAUCGAGUCUUUGAACGCACAUUGCGCCCCCUGGUAUUCCGGGGGGCAUGCCUGUCCGAGCGUCAUUGCUGCCCAUCAAGCACGGCUUGUGUGUUGGGUCGUCGUCCCCUCUUCGGGGGGGACGGGCCCCAAAGGCAGCGGCGGCACCGCGUCCGAUCCUCGAGCGUAUGGGGCUUUGUCACCCGCUCUGUAGGCCCGGCCGGCGCUUGCCGAACGCAAAACAACCAUUCUUUCCAGGUUGACCUCGGAUCAGGUAGGGA
rnacentral:rRNA from 1 species